rnacentral:rRNA from 1 species
AUUGAACGCUGGCGGCAGGCUUAACACAUGCAAGUCGAACGAGUGGCGGACGGGUGAGUAAUGUCUGGGACACUGCCUGAUGGAGGGGGAUAACUACGGGAAACGGUAGCUAAUACCGCAUACCAUCGGAUGUGCCCAGAUGGGAUUAGCUAGUGGGUGGGGUAACGGCUCACCAAGGCGACGAUCCCUAGCUGGUCUGAGAGGAUGACCAGCCACACUGGGACUGAGACACGGACCAGACUCCUACGGGAGGCAGCAGUGGGGAAUAUUGCGCAAUGGGCGCAAACCUGAUGCAGCCAUGCCGAGUGUAUGAAGAAGGCCGUCGGGUUGUAAAGUACUUUCAGCGGGGAGGCGUUACCCGCAGAAGAAGCACCGGCUAACUCCGUGCCAGCAGCCGCGGUAAUAC